UACGUAGGGUGCGAGCGUUGUCCGGAAUUACUGGGCGUAAAGAGCUUGUAGGUGGUUUGUCGCGUUGUUCGUGAAAUCUCACGGCUCAACUGUGAGCGUGCGGGCGAUACGGGCAGACUAGAGUACUGCAGGGGAGACUGGAAUUCCUGGUGUAGCGGUGGAAUGCGCAGAUAUCAGGAGGAACACCGGUGGCGAAGGCGGUUCUCUGGGACGGUACUGACGCUGAGACGCGAAAGCGUGGGGAGCGAACAGG
rnacentral:rRNA from 1 species